GCUGAUAUAGCUCAGCUGGCUAGAGCACCUGAUUCGUAAUCAGGAGGUUGCGGGUUCAAGUCCCGUCGUUGGCU
rnacentral:tRNA from 1 species